GAUGAACGCUGGCGGCGUGCCUAAUACAUGCAAGUCGAGCGAACAGAUGAGGAGCUUGCUCCUCUGACGUUAGCGGCGGACGGGUGAGUAACACGUGGAUAACCUACCUAUAAGACUGGGAUAACUUCGGGAAACCGGAGCUAAUACCGGAUAAUAUAUUGAACCGCAUGGUUCAAUAGUGAAAGACGGUUUUGCUGUCACUUAUAGAUGGAUCCGCGCCGCAUUAGCUAGUUGGUAAGGUAACGGCUUACCAAGGCAACGAUGCGUAGCCGACCUGAGAGGGUGGUCGGCAAAAAGUGAAGAUAUACACGGACAAGACGAAUGCGGGAGGCAGCAGUAGGGAGUGUGCAACAAAGGGCGAAAGCUUGAAAGAGCAACUCAGCGGGAAAGAAAAAGGUUAUAGGAUAGUAAACCCCUGUUGACAGGGAAGAACAAAGGAGUAAGUGCCUAUGCACGUCCUGCCGGUACCGAAUCAGAAAGCCGCGGCUAACUACGUC
rnacentral:rRNA from 1 species